UACGAAGGGGGCUAGCGUUGCUCGGAAUCACUGGGCGUAAAGAGCGUGUAGGCGGCCAUACAGGUCCGUUGUGAAAACUCGAGGCUCAACCUCGAGACGUCGAUGGAAACCGUAUGGCUAGAGUCCGGAAGAGGAGAGUGGAAUUCCUGGUGUAGCGGUGAAAUGCGCAGAUAUCAGGAAGAACACCCGUGGCGAAGGCGGCUCUCUGGGACGGUACUGACGCUGAGACGCGAAAGCGUGGGGAGCGAACAGG
rnacentral:rRNA from 1 species